AAUUGCGAAAAGUAAUGUGACGUGCACCCUUUGAGAAGCAUUUUACUCUUUGAACGCACCUUGCGCGCAUCCUCUGGAUGCGAGGUCCUGUUUGAGCGUGUUAUACAAUUUUACUAGAAGCUGGCAGCUAUCUCACUAGGUUAGAUGGCGGCUGAAAGACAUGCAGGUGGCCCGAACGACUCUAGGGCAUUACCCCACGGACAGCAGCGCGACAAGCAUCACUGCGAACCGUGGGACUGCGCGUGCACGAGAUUGUUGGAUUUAUUCAACUCGCAUUCUUGCACAAUCUACCCCCCCUUAACAUGCACCUCAAAUCAGGAUAGAGGACCCGCUGAACUUAA
rnacentral:misc_RNA from 1 species